AUAACUUUCCCAAGGUCACAGUGAACGGUGGAGGUGGAAUUUGAAUCCAGUUCUAUCUGAUUCCAAAGUCAGGGUUUCACUCAGGACUGGCUUGAACCAAUACUUAGAAAGUUGCCUAAGAGUGUUUUCACCUAUCUUUAAUUGUGUUUUUGUUUAUCAUCUGUCUUCCAGAAUGUGAUUUCCAUGACAACAAUGACCUUUCUGCAUUGUCUAUUCCUGUGAUCCAGCACAGUGCCUGGCUCUUGCUCUCAGUGUGACAGCGUUGUCUCUCCUCAGGGUGGUAAGAUGGCUGCUUACCAUGGUGUGGAAUUCCAGAAUCCCACAUGUUUGCCUCUGCCUCUGCCUGAGAGCUCCAGCUACUGCCUGGGUUAUGUAAACUAAAGACAUAUGGCUGAGAUGGUAAUUCUCACAUAGUUCUUUUUCUCCUGGUGAGUAACAAACUUCAAAUUACCACCCACAGUAAGUGUUAUUUUUCUUCUAUUUGCUGUUCUAAACCUUUUCCUUGCCACAGGUUUUGGGAACUCUUUUCUUCAUUGUCUCAAAGCAAGAGAAUUAGGAGGAAGAAUGGGGUCAUGAGAUGUUCCUUCACAAGACAGGAACAAUGCCUGGGGGAGGAAAGUGGCUCAGUAAGUGUUUACUGUGACUGGACAAAUGGUGGAAAGGAAAGAGUGUGGGCUUCUCAAUCCUGCAGACUUGCAUGAAGUCCCACUACUUCUGCUUACCACCAAUUUGAUCAAGGGUAACUUAUAUAACUUCUCUCUGUUUCCUCAUCUGUAAUAUGGGACCGAUGAGAAUUAUCUCACAAGUUCAUUGUCAGGACUAGAGAUAAGACACGUAAAGCACUUAGCAUAAUACCCAGAACAUAGUAGGUGCUCCACAAAUGGGUAGCUACUGCUAAUAGUUACAAGAAGAAGCUGGAUUUUCCUAUCCUUGGUCAUCUUUGUGGAACCCAUGCAAAAUAGUUAAAUCCAAAACCUCCAGGUGCCACAACAAACAGGGCAUUGGUAGAGCCACAUAUAAUGCAGGGAUGUCUGGAUAGCGGGGCAGCUAUUCUCUUCCUACCAAAAGCUAGAGGUUGUUGAAGUACAGGAAGUUGAUUUAUGGAUAGGGAGUACGUGGGCCUGAGAAAUGAUGCAAAGAGAGAAAAGCCAUUCCUUGGGGAACAUAAAACUACCACGGACAUUUCAGUCAAUUCACAGUGAAGACUCUAAGCCUCCCAAGGGCCCAAAUCUGACCCGUACAGAAACAAAUGAGGAAGAGGGGGUAGCCAGAGGAUAGAGGUGAGCUUGCUGAGAAUUCUGCCCCCAAGUUUGGAACUUGCAAACAGAGAGGCCGAGAAUUCUGCAGAUGCUGUGGCAGUUUGAACUCCUGGAGAGCCCUUCCUGGCCCAGCCUAGCUGGGACGUAGAACACUGUAGGAAGCAGAAGAGGAUCAGCCGAUGGCAGAGAACCUGGACAAAGAAAAGGAUGCCAACCAACUGAGGAUAGAGACGUUUCCCUUGGCUCCUCCUGGCAAAGGAUUUUUCAGGUUUCCUGGUGAGGAGGGAGUGGAAGUUAUGACAUAAUCACACUCUAUAUUCUUUGUAGUUUGUUGUAGGCAUGGUAAUGAUUAAGUCAUCCUUUCGGUGAACUGUAUAUACUAGAUUCUUUUCUUGAGACGGAGUCUCACUCUAUCACCCAGGCUGGAGUGCAGUGGUGCGGUCUGGGCUCACUGCAACCUC